GGAGGGGUGGCCGAGUGGCUUAAGGCGCACGCUUGGAAAGCGUGUUUACUGAAAGGUAACCGGGGUUCGAAUCCCCGUCCCUCCGCCA
rnacentral:tRNA from 2 species